UACGUAGGGGGCAAGCGUUAUCCGGAAUUACUGGGUGUAAAGGGAGAGUAGGCGGCAUGGUAAGCCAGAUGUGAAAGCCUUGGGCUUAACCCGAGGAUUGCAUUUGGAACUAUCAAGCUAGAGUACAGGAGAGGUAAGUGGAAUUCCUAGUGUAGCGGUGAAAUGCGUAGAUAUUAGGAAGAACACCAGUGGCGAAGGCGACUUACUGGACUGAAACUGACGCUGAGGCUCGAAAGCGUGGGGAGCGAACAGG
rnacentral:rRNA from 1 species